UACGUAGGUGGCAAGCGUUGUCCGGAAUUAUUGGGCGUAAAGCGCGCGCAGGCGGAUCUGUAAGUCUGUCUUAAAAGUUCGGGGCUCAACCCCGUGAGGGGAUAGAAACUGCAGAUCUUGAGUAUCGGAGAGGAAAGUGGAAUUCCUAGUGUAGCGGUGAAAUGCGUAGAGAUUAGGAAGAACACCAGUGGCGAAGGCGACUUUCUGGACGAACACUGACGCUGAGGCGCGAAAGCCAGGGGAGCGAACGGG
rnacentral:rRNA from 1 species